UUGAUUUUAAUUAUUUGUGAACGGUACUACUAAUAACAAAAAAUAUAAUAUAUCAAAAAAAUAAUCA
rnacentral:misc_RNA from 1 species